rnacentral:tRNA from 1 species
UGGCUCAGUUGGCAGAGCAUGGUGUUUGCAACGCCAGGGUCGUGGGUUUGAUUCCCAC